rnacentral:rRNA from 1 species
CCUACGGGCGGCAGCAGUAGGGAAUAUUGCUCAAUGGGGGAAACCCUGAUGCAGCGACGCCGCGUGAGCGAGGAAGUAUUUCGGUUUGUAAAGCUCUGUCAGCAGGGAAGAAGAAUGACGGUACCUGAAGAAGAAGCACCGGCUAAACACGUGCCAGCAGCCGCGGCAAUACGUAUGGUGCAAGCGUUAUCCGGAUUUACUGGGUGUAAAGGGAGCGCAGGCGGUUCUGCAAGUCUGAGGUGAAAGCCCGGGGCUCAACCGCGGGACUGCAUGUGAAACUGGGGGACUGGAGUGUGGGAGGGGUAAGCGGAAUUCCUGGUGUAGCGGUGAAAUGCGUAGAUAUCGGGAGGAACACCGGUGGCGAAGGCGGCUUACUGGACGAUGACUGACGCUGAGGCUCGAAAGCGUGGGGAGCAAACAGGAUUAGAUACCCCUGUAGUC